GGCGUAUAAGAGAGUUUUAUGUUAGCUACAGUUUAAUUUCUCAAAAGGCAAAACAAUUUCAUCGAGGAUAUCUUCGCACGAUCUGGAAAAAUAAAUAACAAGAGAAUAUCAUCUAAUAAUGUUUCUCGUCGCCAUCCAACGAGGGAUGUCCAGUCUUUUUGCCUUCCGUUGCGUUCCCUUUUGUUUUCGGGCGACUUUCGCCGUUGGUGGAGUUACUGGCGGCGUGGACCUGGACUGUUGCGUUGGCUUCCGUGAUCGCUUGAGUCUGUCGGAGUUGUCGCUUUUCGUGUUCUUUUUUUCCCCGCUCCUGGCAGCUGGAUAGUUUCAUUGUUACCGGCUAUGCCGUGGUUUGGUGGUUAUGUUGGUAACUGGUUCAAUGGCUAUGUUGGUGGUGGGCGUGCCAUGGCGGAAUUGCGCUGGGCAGUUGGGUUUUUUUAUUAGAGGGAAAUGAGAAUUGCCAGGGGAGAUGGGUUGCGGUGGCGGUCCGUGGGUUCUGGCUUUAUUGAGUACAGAGGCAUUAAUCUUCUAUUACAAAGAAAAAAAAUAGCGACCGCGACCUGGAGGAAGGGAGAGACAGAAGGAGAUUAAAAUUAUCGACCCUGACCGACUAUGGAAAGGAGCAGGGCAUGGGAAUCGAAGCAUUCGAAGCCAUUCUUAUGGAUGAUGAAUUUAGAGGUGCUCCUCCCUUUCUUUCUUUUUGAUUUUUUCAAAGUAAACAAACCAAUGAUAUGCAAUGGUAGAAAUUCAUUCUAGCGAGAGUGGCCUUAAUACUUCUAACCAUCGCUUCAAUAUAUCAAUGUCUCCACAGGUUAGGCUGGCUGGCUGUUGAUCAUGGUGCUGUGUUUUUUCUGUUCCCCGGAGUUUGGUCAUGUUCUUAUG